CUGUUCCUUAAUUGGUAUCAAUUUCAACAAUCAUGUUAAUACUAUUCUCAUUGUUUCUCGUAUUAUUGUACAUGAUGGUAAUGGUGAAGACAAUGAAAAGCAUUAACUUGGUAAACAGGAAAAUAAAACAAUAAGCAAGUUAAAUGAAUACAUAUUAUAGUAAAUUAGAUUUGCAGUUGAAUCAUGAAUUAUCUUGAAUCUUUUUCAGCUUAAACAUUUCUAAUGUCAACCAAAUAAUUCCCAAUUGAUUUAAGAAAGAGCUUCCCUCAAAGAUGUUAUCAUCAUUUUACUAACCCAUAAUGUUGUCUUUUUGUCCAACAAUGUUUGUUUCAAGUAAAUUGAUGCUUGAUUCAGGAAUUACAUCGGAAAUCAUGUAUUUAUAAUUUAAAUAAAUUUAAAUGGAGCCAUCUUUACAAUGUAUCUUCCUAAGGUUUAAUCAGUUUAACCAUAUUAAGCUUUACAAUUUACUUAUCCUUCAAAAAAUGUAUCUAUUUAACCUAAACUGUUUGUCUGGUAAUGAUUUUAACCCUUGACUAUUAGUCUCCAUUUGUUUUCACAUUUUGACACCAGAUUGGGUAAUCUUUUGUCUUCAUUGAAACCAUUACUCACUUUUUUCAUGCUUUCUGUUUAUCUCUAUUAUUUCACCCAUUUUCACCAUUUCUAAUUGUUUUAUUCAUGAUAAUCAUUUGAUUUGUAUUUAGUUGAUGUUAUCCAUUUUGGUUAUUCAAUUGGUUUGUGUUUACUUUCAUUAUUUAAUAUGAAAAUGGCUACAACGAGUCAAGUAUCAAGCUAACAAAUCAUUACUAGACCAAUGGCGCUGUUUAAUCGUGCUGGGUCAGAAGUUAUGAGUUUAAUAUACCAAAGAUACAUGAGGCUCUUCAUUCCGAAUUAAUCUUCCACUUUGCGCAAACAUACGAAAAGUUGAAUAAUGAUAGGCAGUAAUUUUGUCAAUGGUUAUAUUUCGCAAAGAAAACCAAUUAUGGAUUGAUCUUUCGUUAAAGGUUGGCUUACCUAAAUCAAGUAUCCAAAGCGGAGUCUCAGUUGAGCUCGAGAAACCAACUUCACCUCCAAAAACAAACAAUUUAUCCUUUGGCAAUCAUGAAAGGAAGAAAAGAUAAUUUUAUCAAUUUUAAUGAACAGCAAGCCAAUGGCAAUGAUGAACUUACCUUCCAAGGAAUAAUUGUAUGCUCCUGAAGAUUUGGAGGCUGAUCACCCCAACAUUUCACUUCUUCCCAAGUAUUUUGACCUGAUGUAAGAAUGUAAAUGUCAAUGUUAUCUCAUCACAAUAAUUGCAAUAAUCAGAGAGGAUAAGGAUUAAAGUAGGAUCAAUUUAUCUGCUGUCUAAGGGAUUACUAAUCAGUACGUGCAUUAAACAAAAGGUAUUGAAUGGUUA